CAGCCGCCGCGGUAAUACCGGCGGCCCGAGUGGCGGUCACUAUUAUUGGGCUUAAAGCGUCCGUAGCCGGGUUGGGAAGUCCUCCGGGAAAUCUGGCCGCUUAACGGUCAGAAUGCCGGAGGAUACUCCCAGCCUAGGGAGCGGGAGAGGCCGAGGGUAUUCCCGGAGUAGGGGUGAAAUCCUAUAAUCCCGGGAGGACCACCUGUGGCGAAGGCGCUCGGCUGGAACGCGUCCGACGGUGAGGGACGACGGCCAGGGGAGCAAACCGGAUUAGAUACCCGGGUAGUCCUGGCUGUAAACGAUGCGGACUUUGUGUCGGACAAGCUAUGAGCUUGUCCGGUGCCGGAGGGAAACCGUUAAGUCCGCCGCCUGGGGAGUACGGCCGCAAGGCUGAAACUUAAAGGAAUUGGCGGG
rnacentral:rRNA from 1 species